AGAACUUGACAUUUUCAGUUUGUGUUUCAGUUUUUACCCUGUGGACUCAGGAGCAGCAAGACCGCAAUGCACUAAAUGAGGCCUGCUGCCCAGCAGCGGGGCACAGCAAUCCACCGAAAAGUAGGCAGCCGAGCUCCAAAUAACCCCGUGAUUUUGGAUGAUUGAUUAUGGGAAUGCUGCUUUUACUGUACAUCCAAGCAGGCAGAUGUUGCUACUGAGGGGCUGUAAGGUCUAAGGAGAUUAACUUCCCCGUGUUCUACUUUGAAUCUGACUCACUCACUACAAUGAAAUUGGAAUCUGCAGAUGUCAGAGAAGCAUCCUUUUCUCCUCAACUUUUUCAAACGGCUCUCAGCACAGACUAUUUCUUCAGACCUGAAC